CCAAAGGGCCCAGAAUGUCUUCCAUUCACCUCCACCACAGGGUUUCCAAAGGGCCAAGGAUUUCAAAUAUUCAGGUUAUCCAGGUACAACUACCAAAGCUGGGCCUGGAAUAUCAGACACUGCCCUGGCUCACAUUCUCAGACCUCUCUCACCGAUGUGUGUGCCGGAAGAUGAUGGUGAAUGGGACUCUGGUUGGGAUCACAUGUCCACCUCUGGGACUUCUACGUUUGUUGACUCUUCCCCUGGACAUUUUAAGGCUUUUUUAGGCUAUUUUGCCAGAAAAAAAGGAUGCAGUGGAGCAUAGCAUACUUAGAAAAAAUAAAUAAACUCAAG